rnacentral:rRNA from 1 species
CUGAACCAGCCAAGUAGCGUGAAGGAUGACGGCCCUACGGGUUGUAAACUUCUUUUGUGCGGGAAUAAAGGAACCUACGUGUAGGUUUUUGCAUGUACCGUAACGAAUAAGCAUCGGCUAACUCCGUGCCAGCAGCCGCGGUAAUACGGAGGAUGCGAGCGUUAUCCGGAUUUAUUGGGUUUAAAGGGAGCGUAGACGGGUUUUUAAGUCAGUUGUGAAAGUUUGCGG